CUUGGCUCUCGCAUCGAUGAAGAACGCAGCGAAAUGUGAUAAGUAAUGUGAAUUGCAGAAUUCAGUGAAUCAUCGAAUCUUUGAACGCACCUUGCGCUCUCUGGUAUUCCGGAGAGCAUGCCUGUUUGAGUGUCGUG
rnacentral:rRNA from 2 species